UCAAUAUUUUUAUAACGAAGAAUGGUUUAAGUUCCUAACCUUGCUGACAUUGUGUAUUUUGAUUACAUUCAGAUGACAGACCUGAAUAUGCAUCUGUUCAAGCAAUUCUUUACGGUCCUUACCUUCUUGCUGGCCACACCACUAGUGAUUGGGCCAUUAAAGCUGUUGCAGACUGGAUUACUCCAAUUCCUUCCAAUUACAAUAGUCAACUAGUUUCUCUCUCCCAAGACUUUGCAAACUCAAAUUUUGUUUUAACAAACUCAAACCAAACACUUACUAUGCAAGAAUUACCUGGAUCUGGCACUGAGUUUGCUCUGCAUGCAACCUUUAGACUCAUCCUAAAAGAAUCUUCCUCAAAGUUUUCAUCAUUGACGGAUAGUAUUGAGAAAUCAGUGAUGUUAGAACCAAUUGAUCUUCCUGGAAUGAAUGUUGUUCACCAAGGAGCAAACCAACCUCUGAUCAUUUCCAAUGGCGGGCCAUCUUCGGUUUUUCUUGUGGUACCGGGAUUGGAUGGACGAAAUGGAACCAUCUCUUUAGAAUCUCAGAGCAAUAAGGGUUGUUAUGUGCACAGUGGCUUGAGUUCUGGUUCAGAAGUGAAGCUCAGUUGCAUCUCUGGUUCUGAAGCUACUUUUAAGCAAGCAACAAGCUUUGUUGUUUGGAAAGGAUUAAGGGAAUACAAUCCUAUCAGCUUUGUGGCCAAAGGGACAAGCAGAAAUUUUCUUUUGGAGCCAUUAUUGAGUUUCAGAGAUGAGCGUUAUACUGUUUAUUUCAACAUUCAAAAUUGAUGAUACAAGAUUUAUUUUCAAUAAGUAAUAUUUAUCUAACUUUGGUCUGUGAAGGUUCAAAUAAUCGACAUUCAAUUAUAAAAAGAAUGUUGAUGAAUUUCCUCUUGUGCUUGAUGGUCUGUAAUUGAAAUUUGAAACAGUACACAUGAUCAACUGGAUAUGCAUACAUGACCACUGUUUUUUUUUACAUGACCACUGUUGAUUACACAUCAACCAUGAAAAAAUAAGUUGCAAAAAGUAAUUAUUGAAAUAAAAUUGUAACAUUAUUUUAAACACUUUGAUGUAUAUCUUUUCCAUCAAUUUCCUUCUGUUCCCCUUAUGAUUAGUUAUAGGAAUUGCUAACUCUGCUCAAGAUAAUGUUCUGGAUUCACACAGCUCUAUGAAAUGUAUAAUCUAAUUGCUGAGUGUUGUCGAUCACCCAAGUUCUUUUGGGACUUUGAGGCUAAAGGGGUAAAGAGGAAUUUUUUUUAGAGCCAGGUCAAAAAUAGGAUGCAGUCACCCAAUUUUUAAGGGAUAGCGUAGACUUCACAUUGUCUCUUUCCAUAACAGCUUUACUCUCCCGCCCAGGAAUAUAGGAAUAUAAUAUAUCUGUGGCUGCAUUACUUGCUUUUCAAAUCCAAAAUGGCAAAACCUGAGAUCAUCUUAAACAUGUCCCUGUUUUCUAGUACCUAUAUAUAUAUCCCAUUCCAUUUUCUCCAAUCUCCAAACUUCACUGAAAAAAUCCAACCCUUUUUCUCUUUUCAAUUUCUUUUUUAUAUCCAACUUAGGUAACAAAUUUCUAACCCGUUUUGCUUAGUUUAAUGGUUUUCCCCACCUUUAAUUUUGGAUUUUUCAACAAAGAUGGAGACUUUUGUGUUUUUGCUUGUGACCCUUUUGCUGUGCGGUCAUGCUGCUGGGAAAGAAUGCACAAACAUUCCUACUCAAUCGCACACGUUCGCGUACCAGCUAAUGACAUCCAAGAACGAGACAUGGAAAUCAGAGGUGAUGUCUCAGAUUCAUUUGACUCCCACUGAUGAAUCUGCUUGGGCAGAUUUGAUGCCAAGGAGGUCAUUGGAUGAGAAUGAGAAAAACAAACAUGAAUGGGGUAUGAUGUAUAGGACAGUUAAGAACUUGGGAACCAUGAAUUCACCACCUAAAGGGUUUUUAAAAGAAGUGCCUCUUCAGGAUGUGAGGUUGAAUGAGGGUUCCAUCCAUUGGAGGGCACAGCAGACAAACUUGGAGUAUCUUUUGAUGUUGGAUGUGGACAGGUUGCUUUGGAGUUUCAGGAAAACUUCUGGUUUACCAACUCCGGGGACGCCUUAUGGAGGAUGGGAAGCUGCAGAUAUUGAGCUCAGAGGUCAUUUUGUUGGUUAGUUACUUUAUUACAUCAAUCAUCUUAAAUGUGUUCACCAAAUCUAGCUUGUGUCGCAGUUUGAUGUUAUUCAUUUAUACUAUAUGCUCAGAACAUUUCUCAGUUGAUGUUUUUGAAAAGCUUGGUUUUCUACAUAAUGAAGUUAUGUAUGAAGAAUUCAUUGGACUCCAUGUAUCUAAAUUAGUGAAUUGUAUUUUUUUUUUUGUUUUUUGUUUGUUUGAGGUUUGUUGAUAACUUAUGAAAUAUCUCUCACAAACUGAUGUGUAGAAAAACAAAUGCAUAUUGAAUUCAUUCCCCUGGCUGCAACUUUCAGCUUCUACAAUUCACUUUUCAAGGAUAAUUUAUAAUUGCUUUUUUUAAAACUGUGAAGGGCAUUACUUGAGCGCAUCAGCACUAAUGUGGGCCAGCACACACAAUGAUAUUCUGAAGAAGAGAAUGGACGCUCUCGUUGCCGGUCGAUAUCUCUCUGCAUUUCCACCGGAGCUUUUUGAUCGAGUUGAAGCUAUAAAACCUGUGUGGGCUCCCUAUUACACCCUUCACAAGGUACAAUCGAAAGUAGCUUUUUCUUAUGCAAGUGUUUUCUUGGCCUUAACAUUGUGGAAUUUCAAAUAUUCCACUUCGACAGAUCUUUGCUGGCCUGUUGGAUCAACAUACUAUUGGUGGAAACCCUCAAGCUCUAAAAAUGGUGACAUGGAUGGCUGAUUACUUUUACGACCGCGUGAUGAAUGUCAUAACAAAGUACACUAUUGAAAGACACUAUGAAUCACAGAAUACAGAAACAGGAGGAAUGAAUGAUGUCCUUUACAAACUAUAUAACUUAACGGUGGGUUUACUAGUUCACAUAGUUUCCUUUACUAUUGUUGCUUUGUGUGCUUCUAUAAUGUUCUUGACUUGUAGACUUUGUUGAUCUUAGUAUAGGAAUUAGAAGAUAACGAUUCUAAUUCAUACUUGAGAGAUUAUUUUAAAAGCAAUGGCUUACUUAGCGUUCAUGAUUAUAGCACAAGAUACAUAGUUAUUAUGGUAAACUUCAAUUCUGAAGUAUAGCUUCCAUGCUAUUCUCCGCAGGGGGAUUCGAAGCAUCUAGUGUUGGCUCACCUUUUUGACAAACCAUGCUUUUUAGGGUUGCUCGCAGUGCAGGUAACUGAAACAUUAUUUGUUGAGUUUUGACAUUGACAUAUUGCUAUUUAAUCCACAUUCUGUUGUAUAUAGCUGGCAAUAAAUUUCAAGAGGUCUUACCGUUGUCUUUAAAAUAAUUUUUAGGAUGAGUUGUAUUAUAAUCCUUACUAAUGUAAGCUUUCAGUUGAAUAAAUCUGGAAAAGUGCAUGGGCGAACAAUAUAUACCAGAAAGCUUAAAUGUGAAAUUAAAUUAACUUAAAGUUACUCUUUUUUACACACGGGAAAAUAAACUUCCUGUCCUUGAAACAAUUAGAUAUUGGAUGUUGAACUUGGGCAUUAUUCUAGCUUAUGAACUACAUCUAAUUUUAUAACCAUUCCACAUAAUUGUUUUCUGAACUUCUCUGUUUUCAUGUAGGCUGAUGACAUAGCUGGUUUGCAUGCUAAUACACAUAUCCCAAUUCUUGUCGGAGCUCAACUGCGGUAUGAAAUCACGGGUGACCCACUUUAUAAGGUGAAAUAUUUAGGAACAUUAUACAUUACUGAUAUAAAUUUCACUAAAUUUGAAUAAAAUCACGUUUAUUUUAUAUUUAUUAGUUUAACACCAUUUAUUUAGUUUUUCAAUUUACACUCUGUAAGUUAAUAGAGUUUACUUAUGAUUUUUUUCAACAAUCUUGCAUAACUUCCGUUGUCAAUGGAUUGUGGAAGUAACCUAUUCAGAUAAUUGUAACUCAAACACCCCUAUUUGUACCUCCAGUCUGUCAUUGUUUGUGAAAUACACAUUCACUCCGAAUGGUAGAAACAAAAUACAUAUUAAUGUCCCCCUCACACUUUAAAUUAGUACCUAUAUGGUUCAUACUUCAAUUUAGGCAUGUCUAUCUGUAGACUGUCUUUAUAUUUGUUACCUAUGGUCCUUUUUCAUUUUAAAAUGUUUCUCCUAUUGCAUGUUUUAGAUUUCUGCAGUAAAUUUGGAGUUCCAACUUCAAAUUACAUUUCUAUGCAUUCCAUUUGCUUUCCGCCCUUCAAAACUCAACAUCUGCCAUGCCUUUCAACUUUCUAAGACUUUUCUUGUUCUUUGGUGUGUUAGGAAAUUGCAACAUUCUUUAUGGACACUGUAAACUCUUCACACAGCUAUGCAACUGGAGGGACGUCAGUAAGCGAGUUCUGGUAUUAAGAAGUCAGCAUUUUAUGUUUCAGCUUUUUCAUAUGCAUUUGGAAUUGUCUUUUGAGUUUGUCUUCUGGAAGGGCAUAAAGUAUACUAUUAUGUGUUUCAUUCCUUUAGUUAUUCACUAUCGGUUCUAGAUUUCUUUCUUAACUCCUUUACUUCAAUUUUUGCAUAGGCAUGAUCCAAAGAGAAUAGCAGAAAACCUAAAAUCGACAGAAAAUGAAGAAUCCUGCUCUACAUAUAACAUGUUAAAGGUACAUCCAAGCAUUUAUCAUUUUAUUAGCUCAUGUCAUGAGAAGUUAAAAUUGAGCAUAUGAAAAAAUUUCAGUUUUUUUUAACUAUUAGAAGGGGGAAGACUUAUUGUCACAUGGUAAUUCAGUGGUAUUAUGUUUAUGAUUUAUGCUUGUAUAUGUGUUUAUGUGUGUGUGUGACAAGACACAAUGUUAUGAGAUUAUUGUUAGUUGAUUUCUAUUGUAAGUAUUUGUGUUCCCAGACAAUAUUUCCAUUAUCUUAGCACCUAAAAAUGAAAUGAUUUCAGGUUUCACGCAACCUCUUUAGAUGGACCAAAGAAGUCUCUUAUGCAGAUUAUUACGAGCGUGCUUUAACAAAUGGUGUACUCAGCAUUCAAAGAGGAACAGAUCCUGGAGUGAUGGUUUAUAUGCUUCCACUAGGUUAUGGGGUUUCCAAAGCUAAGACUUAUCAUAGUUGGGGAACGCCAUUUGAUUCUUUCUGGUGCUGCUAUGGAACAGGUGCUCAUUUGUUUCGAAUUGCAUCAAACUGCACCAUAUUUUUUGUCAAUUCUUUCAUACUCUUAUCAGUCUUAUGUUCUCAAUUUAUUUUUCCUGUUCAUUAGGAAUUGAAUCAUUCUCAAAGCUGGGAGAUUCUAUCUAUUUCGAACAGGAAGGGAAUGAUCCCACUCUUUACAUCAUUCAGUACAUAUCAAGCUCAUUUAAUUGGAAAUCUGGGAACCUCUUGCUCAAUCAGACUGUGGUUCCAGCUUCUUCAUGGGAUCCUAACCUGCAAGUGACAUUUACGUUUUCUCCUCUUGAGGUGCCUAUUACAUUGUCUUAUGGCAUCUUAUUUAGCCCCAUACUCAUCUUAGAUGCCUUUUAAGAUCAAACAUCCUCAUAAUGCCUAAUCUGUGCAAAAUUUUGUCCCUUUUGUCCCCCCAACCCCCUUCUUCACUAAGGCUUUCAUUUUCAAAAUAUUAGGUCCCUCUCCUACUUCUUUUGUUCAUAAUUACUUUAUAAUCUACCAUUGUCAUCUGAGAUGUGACGAAGGAAAUUGGAGUAUAAUUUGUUGGAAUCUAGUGUAUAUUGGUAUAACAAGCACCAUAGGUUACCUUUUGAAAAUUGCACCGUCAAGGUGAUUAUUAAUUGAAGAUGGGUUCCUGAUACUACACCAAAAUUGGGCAUCUCAACUUGAUUAUGCAUCUGGACAUUUCAGUUACUUAGAUUUAUUUUAAAAAAAUUAAUUGCUAAUAAAGGAUAACGGAUAUAUUUUCAUACCUUCACUUCUGCAGAAAACUGGAACUUUGUCUGCAUUGAACUUUCGACUACCGUCUUGGACAAGUACAGUUGGCGCCAAGGGGAUAUUAAAUAGUGAAACUUUAACUCUGCCAACUCCAGGUGUGAAUCUCUCUUUACUUCUCUUUUAUUAAGUCAAGAUUCCCCUAGUUAUCUAAUCGCAGACACAGGUUAGAAACACACACACACACAGCGAACUAAAUAUCUUGUAAUUCAUAACAGAAAAAAAUUGACACUAGAGACAUAAAGAAAUAUUUUAUUUUUGCCAAUCUCUAGGAAAUUUUUUAUCAAUCAAACGACAGUGGAGUGCUGGCGACAAGCUAACCCUUCAAUUGCCAAUUACCAUCAGAACCGAGGCCAUAAAAGGUAGCUUCAUAAGAUAAUCCAUGUGUCUUGAUGAUCAAAUUAAAUAUCCUUCCAUCAGAUCAUACUUUUUGAAUGAGGAAUGUUUUAAUGUCCUAACCUUGCUGAUAUUGUGUAUUUUGAUUAAAUUCAGAUGACAGACCUGAAUAUGCAUCUGUUCAAGCAAUUCUUUACGAUCCUUAUCUUCUUGCUGGUCAUACCACUAAUGAUUCAGACAUUAAAGCUGUUGCAAACGGGACUACUCCAAUUCCUUCAAAUUACAAUAGUCAACUAGUUUCUUUUUCCCAAGACUCUGCAAACUCAACUUUUGUUUUAACAAACACAAACCAAUCACUUACAAUGCAAAAUUUACCUGGACCUGGCACUGAGUAUGCUCUGCAUGCAACCUUUAGACUUGUCCUAAAAGAAUCUUCCUCAAAGUUUUCACCAUUGACAGAUAGUAUUGGUAAAUCAGUGAUGUUAGAACCAAUUGACCUUCCUGGAAUGAGUGUUAUUCACCAAGGAGCAAACAAACCUCUGAUCAUUUCCAAUGGCGGGCCGUCUUCUUUUUUUCUUGUGGUACCUGGAUUGGAUGGACAAAAUGGAACUAUAUCUUUAGAAUCUGAGAGCAAUAAGGGCUGUUAUGUGUACAGUGGUUUGAGCUCUGGUUCAGGAGUUAAGCUCAGUUGCAUCUCUGGUUCUGAAUCUACUUUUAAGCAAGCAACAAGCUUUGUUUUCGGGAAAGGAUUAAGGCAAUACGAUCAUAUCAGCUUUGUGGCCAAGGGGACAAGCAGGAACUUUCUUUUGGAGCCAUUGUUGAGUUUCAGAGAUGAGCAUUAUACGGUUUAUUUCAACAUUCAACAUUGAUUCAAGUUUUUAUCUUAACUAAAAAUAUAGAUGUAAGUUUGGUCUAUGAAGGUUCAAAUAAUCAGCAUUCAAUUAUUGUUUGUAAAUAAGAAAUUAGUAUUAGAAAUUUGCGUUAGGAGAUUUUGUACAGAUUUGUUUUAUUUCCCUAUUUAGGUUUAGUCUAG
rnacentral:lncRNA from 1 species